ensembl:lncRNA
UAUUUAACAAAAAUUGCUGGGGAAAACUGAAAAACAGUAUGGGAAAAAUUAGGUUUAGAACAACAUCUUACACCCUAUACUAAGAUAAAUUUAAAAUGGGUGUGAAUAUUAAAUUAACUCUCCCCUGAUUGUGAAAGUGAAAUUAACUCUCCCCUGCUUGUAAAGAUUAAAUUAAUUCUCCCCUGCCCAUGUUUAUAUUUAAUCAACAAAAGUAUAAACAUCCCAUUUACACCUGAAUAGGGGAAGUCUGUGACCCACAUAUGCAAAAGUGAGUGAUGAAUCAGAAUUGACUGACUGCCCCUCUGGGCAGUCCUAAGCAAAGCUUUAGCUGUAAUUGGUACACGUAAAAAUGGAAGAAGGCACAGGAAGUGACGCAAAAGAAAUGUCUUUAAAAAAAGGAGUUACAACUUCCUGUGUGGUGUUCUUCUGGAGUUCUGAAUUCGAGUUGGAGGCUCGUGAAGAAUCUGCUUACUGGACCUGAGGCUUGGACUUGGUGAGACUGUUCUUAAAUCUCUCCCUUUGGACUGACAAGUGGUAAGUGAAAGAGGUGAUUCCUUUCCUGGAUUUUAUGAAGAGACUAGCCUCAGGAAUGACCUACCCUCUUGAGAGAGGCUUCCUGCAUCCCCAGGUCCUCAGCUAAAAGCUGAUGCCUCUCUUGUUAAGGAUUAAUUAGCCCUGCCUGGUUUGAGCCAGGGGCCAGUGCAAAAUACUUAGUGCAUAGGCUAGAUAUCUUACCCUAUCAUCUCUCUGAUUUCUUACUUCACUCUUUCUAUAUUUUGUAAAUGAAUUGUUAAAUAAAUCUCUUUGGAAUUUCAUAAGAUUCCUGGAGACUCUACUCUUGAAUAAUCCAGUCCAAACUUUUAUUAAAAAAAAAACAACCCUCACAUUUUCUAAACCCCGCCCCAACAUGGGUAAAUGACUUAAAUAUAAAGAGUGAAAUCAUAAAUAAAUAAUGUGAACAUAGACUAGUAUACCUGUCAGAUCUGUGAGAAAGAAAGGAAGAAAGGAAGAAAGGAAGAAAGGAAGAAAGGAAGAAAGAAAGAAAGAAAGAAAGAAAGAAAGAAAGAAAGAAAGAAAGAAAGAAAGAAAGAAAGAAAGAAAGAAAGAAAGAAAGAAAGAAAGAAAGAAAGAAAGAAAGAAAGAAAGAAAGAAAGAAAGAAAGAAAGAAAGAAAGAAAGAAAGAAAGAAAGAAAGAAAGGAAGAAAGGAAGAAAGAAAGAAAGGAAGGAAGAAAGGAAGAAAGGAAGAAAGAAAGAAAGAAAGAAAGAAAGAAAGAAAGAAAGAAAGAAAGAAAGAAAGAAAGAAAGAAAGAAAGAAAGAAAGAAAGAAAGAAAGAAAGAAAGAAAGAAAGAAAGAAAGAAAGAAAGAAAGAAAGAAAGAAAAAAAGAAUGUUGCUACUAAUUUUGGUGGACACUGCCACCAACAGUGGGAAAUCUGGAAACUCAAAUUUCCAGAAAAUUUGAUAUUCUCAGUAGCAUCCCUUAUAACAUGGGGAAGUUAUGAGGAAGCUCUCCCAUCUUCCAAUCCCAACAUCAAGUCCUAUUAACAUUUCCUUUUUUCAUUUUCAAAUUAAAACAUUGAACUCUCAAAACUUUGUUGUGCUAUCCAUAGUUCUACUGGAUAUAACUUCCUCUGUUCAGUAAAUCUCAAAGUAUCUUCUUUAUUGAUCAUCUGCUUUCAUCUAAUGAACCCAAAACACAAUGGAUACUUUAAAAUUGAUAACAGCAUUUUUGUACCAAUUUCUAUUUGAUUGAUUAAUUUAUUCAGCCAAUGUGUUUUUAGCUUUUUCUAAUUAUUGGGGUAGGGGGUUAGAGCAAUACACAAUAUUGAUUCUUUUUUUUUAAACCCUUACCUUCCUUCUUGGAGUCAAUACUGUGUAUUGGCUCCAAGGCAGAAGAGUGGUAAGGGCUAGGCCAUGGGGGUCAAGUGACUUGCCCAGGGUCACACAGCUGGGAAGUGUCUGAGGCCAGAUUUGAACCUAGGACCUCCCGUCUCUAGGCCUGGCUUUCAAUCCAUACAAUAUUGAUUCUAAGAUGGAAGGUAAGGGUUUUUUUUUUUCAAACCUUUAACCUUCUUCUUAGAUUUGAUACACGUAUUGGUUCCAUGGUGAGGACUGGUAAGGACUAUAGACAAUUGAGGUUAAUGACUUGCCAAGGGGCCCACAGGUAUUGUUAUGGGGGUCGAUGUGUACCCCUGAGGUUCGGGAAGGAUACCUUUUGCAAGAAUGCAAGACUCCAAAACUUAGCUUAAAAACAAAAAGAGGAAUUUAUUAAUUUAGGAG